rnacentral:rRNA from 1 species
CAGUAGCCGCGGUAAUACGUAGGGUGCGAGCGUUAAUCGGAACUACUGGGCGUAAAGCGUGCGCAGGCGGUUCGUUAAGACAGAUGUGAAAUCCCCGGGCUUAACCUGGGAACUGCAUUUGUGACUGGCGAGCUAGAGUAUGGCAGAGGGUGGUAGAAUUCCACGUGUAGCAGUGAAAUGCGUAGAGAUGUGGAGGAAUACCGAUGGCGAAGGCAGCCCCCUGGGCCAAUACUGACGCUCAUGCACGAAAGCGUGGGGAGCAAACAGGAUUAGAGACCCCCGUAGUCCCUGUCUCUUAUAC